GCUCCUGUGGUGUAGUGAUUAUCGCGUGCGCCUUACACAGGCGAGGUACUUGGUUCGAUCGCGAACGGAAACA